AAGUAUACCUCAAGGAGGCAUUGGAUACAAUCAUUUUCGAGAUUUCAUCUCUGACACCAAGAGCACUCAGCAUCGCAGAAUUCCUCAUCUCCUUACACAUUUUAUAGCAGCUGCUACUGCUGAAGCAACACCUAUGUUUACUCAAACGUGUCGAAAAACAUAUCACACAUUCAUUAUACAUUUCUCGCAUUCAUUAUACAUUUCUCUAUUAACUAAACAGCUAACUGGGUUUAAAAUUAGCUUCCAAACCAAAAAGUUCUGAACUUUUAAUUCUACAUUCAUAUUCAAUUCUUCAUCUCUUACUCUAAAUCCCAAUUACAGAAAGAUCUAAACUUUACUUCAAUUUAAUAUUGCUUUCCCCCAAAACAGCACAAUCCCCACAAAAAUAAAGUUAAAAAAAAACAACAAUAAAUCAUGAAUUAAAUUAAAUUUCUCACCUCCACCUCUAGCAUAGCGUUCACAUUCUCAACCUAUCACAAAAAAAAUAAAAAUCAAAUUCAAGUUAAAAAAAGGAGAACUUAAACUUCCAAAUUAAUUGAAAGAACUAUAAAAUCAAUUGGGGGUUUCUUCUGAAGUGAAAAGUAAGAGUUUUACAAUCUCAUAAGGAUCGAUGUCUAACGAGAGGAUCUGUUUGUCUCCGUUCAUCACUAUGAUCUUCAUCUUCUUCAAUUCGUCGCUGCAAUUGGAUCUCCAAUCACACACACACACACACACAAAAUAUACCCAAAAACCCAAAAGCUAGAAACUAAAACCUAAUAACCCAAAAUCCCCAAUCCUUAACCAAAAACAUAAUCAGUCACAUAUACUACAUACUGAAUCAAAUAC
rnacentral:lncRNA from 1 species